AAUCAUUUGUCUUUUAAAUAAAGACCUGUAUGAAUGGCUAGACGAGGGCUUAACUGUCUCCUUUUUCCAGUCAAUGAAAUUGAUCUUCCCGUGCAAAAGCGGGGAUACACACAUUAGACGAGAAGACCCUGCGGAGCUUUAGACAAAAGGAUAACUACAGGCCUAACAAACUAUUAAAAGAGCGAGCUAUUGAGAACUUAUCCCUAAGUCUUAGGUUGGGGCGACCAUGGAGUAAACAAAACAUCUGAGAGGACUAGGAGCAUUAAACAUAAUUCUAUAAAACCCUUUAUCUUUUUACCCUUACCUCCCAAAACCAAGGGCUACAGCCCUCAGCAACAGAACUUCUGACCGAAAUGACCCGGCAAUGCCGAUUAACGAAACAAGUUACCCCAGGGAUAACAGCGCAAUCCUCUUCAAGAGCCCCUAUCGACAAGAGGGUUUACGACCUCGAUGUUGGAUUAGGACAUCCUAAUGGUGCAGCCGCUAUUAAGGGUUCGUUUGUUCAACGAUUAA
rnacentral:rRNA from 1 species